GAUGAACGCUGGCGGCGUGCCUAAUACAUGCAAGUCGAGCGAACAGACGCGGAGCUUGCUCCUCUGACGUUAGCGGCGGACGGGUGAGUAACACGUGGAUAACCUACCUCUAAGACUGGGAUAACUUCGGGAAACCGGAGCUAAUACCGGAUAAUAUAUUGAGCCGCAUGGUUCAAUAGUGAAAGACGGUUUUGCUGUCACUUAUAGAUGGAUCCGCGCCGCAUUAGCUAGUUGGUAAGGUAACGGCUUACCAAGGCGACGAUGCGUAGCCGACCUGAGAGGGUGAACGGCCACACUGGAACUGAGACACGGUCCAGACUCCUACAGGAGGCAGCAGUAGGGAAUCUUCCGCAAUGGGCGGAAGCCUGACGGAGCGGCGCCGCGUGAGUGAUGAAAGUCUUCGGGUCGUAAGACUCUGUUAGUGGUGAAGAACAAAUGUGUAAGGGACGAUGCACGUCGUGACGGUACCUAGUCAGAAAGCCACGGCUAACUACGUG
rnacentral:rRNA from 1 species